GAGGGUAUAACUUAGUGGUAGAGUGUGUGCUUCGCAUGCACAGGGCCCUGGGUUCAACUCCCUUUUGCCUCC
rnacentral:tRNA from 1 species